CAUAUAUGAGGAUGCGGUAUGCUAGAAUAAUGAGCCUUUGAAACAACUUAAGAUUGAGAUUUUACAACUCAAAAGGUACGGUAGGCACAAUCUUCAAUCCAAGAGCUGGAAUACUAGAGGCAUGCCGUAAGAUGGCCUCAUUGUGAGUAAAGUAGAAGGAGAGUGACAAUAUGUAGGAGAAACAGUAAAAGAGAACCUAGACAGAAUUAGGCUCAGCACAAUCUUGUACUCCAAAACCGUCAAGUUCCUACCAAUGCACAUCCUCCCUCCGAACCCGAAUGGCAAGUAACCCAUCUUGUGCUUGCACCCACCACGUAUGUCAUCCUUGAACCUCUCUGGCUUGAACUCAUGCACAUCCUCACCCCAUAGCUCAGGGUCAUGGUGCAUUCCCACAAUGUCGAUCCACAUAUUGGUUCCUCUAGGGAUUGUUAGGUCCUCAUUCACUUGAAUGUCAUCUCUAGCUUGCCUCUGUGCAUUUGGUCCUGAAGGAUAUAGUCUGAAAACCUCAUUCAUCACCCAUCCCAUCUGCAUUAAGCAAAAACAAAAUAUUAAUUAACAACAGCUUAAGCUUAACACAUGACUAAUUUAGAAACAAUCUGUCGCUGAUGCCACUUUGUUAUUGUUUGCGAGUAUGACAUGGUAUUCCUUUAGGAUUUAGCACCCUUUAUUAAUUAAGAAUUAGCAUAUGACAAAUCUAUGGGGACGCGCCUAAUAUUUUACCAAUGUUGUUUGACCAUUGACCAAUCCCAAGGUUUGGAGAAUAGGACAUGACCAGAGACCAAAGUUGAAAAGGCCUAUUCAUACACACGUACCCAAUUUUUGACGGCCUCCAUAUACAUGCAAAUUCUUAAUUUAACUAAUUGAAUACGAUACUACCAUGGAGACCAUGCAACUAAUUAUCUAAAACCCUAAACAAAAAAAACAUGACGACCAUGCAAUGUGUUUUCUUCUCCAUCUUAUUGUGAUAGCUAGACACUAUAGACUUUAUCUAUGUACAAGAUAAGUAGCACCGUAUUGGUAUAAGUUUAUAACACUAACACAUGCAUGAUAUGAUAUAACAUUAUAACGUGGUUGCAUCGAGUUGUUACCUUCUUUAGUCCAGCAAGGUUGUUUACAUCAAUUUCUUUAUCUCCCAAAACUUGAUUAACCUCUGCCCUCAGUUCGUCUUGCCAAUCUCUAUGGGUAGCCAGAAGUAGCAUUGUCCAUGUGAUCGCCAAUGCCGUUGUCUCGUGGCCGCCGAAGAAAAAUGUCUUGCACUCGUCCACCAGCUCCUGUGUGGUCAGAGACCUCGAGAAGUUGCCCGGCUUAUCGCUCUCUUUGAGCAGCAUUCCGAGAAGGUCGUGUUGCUUAGUCUCUGAUCUAAUCGAUUUCUUCCGUUCGCCAAUGUCGACAAAAAUAGCUGGUUGAUUUCUUCCCCGAGUCUUCCGGCUUCAAGGGUUUUCAUAGGGUAGAAGUAUUUGCCAAAAGGAACUCCCACAAAACUGUUCGUCUUGAAGAGGGUCAUUUGUAGUGCUCUCAAUUUUUCGAACACUUGGCGACCACUUUGGUAACUAAUACCGAAGCUGGUCUUGGCGAUGAUCUCCCCAGCUGUUGCUGAAAUCGAACGCUCAACCUCGAUUUCUUGCGUGCCGGAAGUGUUGAUCUGAGUAGUCCAGUUGUCUAGCAUUGUUGUUGCGGUUUCCACCAUCAAACUAGUCAUUGCCUGCACAUAGUCGCAUAGAAUACAAUUGAGCUAGGUAUUCUUAAAAAAAAAAAAAAGCUUGUAAAUUUCUAUUUCUUAACUCAUUCAAGUUUAGAAAGAGAUAUGAUAUAAGUACCUUUAAGUUAGUAGGGUUAAAUGCCGGAGUGAUAACAUGGCGAUGACGAACCCAAUCAUCCCCUUCGGACAUGAUAAGGUCAUUCCCAAACAUGGGAGCUCUGUCGCGUCUAAACACCGCCGGUUUGCCCCAAUUCUUCGCGGUGACCUCCGACGACAACUUUUUCAGUAAGGCUGCGUCUGCUACGUAUAGGAAUGGCUCUGUGCCCAACCAGUAAACGAACAUUUUCCCUGCACCACCAUAACAGCAAACACAUUAAUUAAUAUGUAACAACAAUGUACUGCAUAAGUACAUUCUUACAUUUGAUCAUGCAUGAUGAAAAACUAUAUAUGUAAGUAAAAACUUUCCUAGGUCGGUUUUUACCGUAGGCUUUCUGCCAGCGAGCAAAGUAGGGAAAGAGAGUUGAGUGUAUGUCAUGGGUAGAAGAAGAAGAAGAAGAGCUUUGGCUAUUCUUCUUCUUCAUCUCGCUAAGAUUUCCUAAAGGAAAACUCGGCGUCGGACCCGUUAAACCAUUUUUCUUAAGCUUCCUGUAAGUCAGGACAGGAAAAACCCAGCAAGAAAGUAACAAUCUGCAGAAUAAGUACAGAACGACGACAAUGGAGACCCCCAUUGUUAAGCGCCCAAUGAACUCCAUAGCCUUCUAAUAUUUCAACAAGUACGCACUUAUUAGAAGAAGUGAUGAUCGAUGAGAGAACUCUGCGUAUGUGUUUGUGAAUACAAGAAGAGGAAAACCACGUGGCACUGACAUGUGUUGUACCCGGCCAAUCAUAUAACUCAGAUUCAUGUGGAGACCAGCACGGGGUGGAAGAAAAAAAAAGUAAUUAAAUACACCAAUCAUAAAUAAGGAUAAAACACGUGGACCAAUGAGAUUAAAAGGGAACAAAAAACAGGUGGUGUUCCGGGUACAAAUAAUAAUUUCCUCGAGGAAUGAUCGAAGUUUGACGAAGACCACUAGUGAGGACGUGGCUUUUGAAUAGGUUUUUUUUUCAAACAUUUGAAACCCUUUACUAAUAAUUACUUUCUUUUAUUUCGUUUUUGUCAUCUUUGCGGCUGCUAUAUCUCCGACCACUAUUUAGAUGAGAGAAAAAUUAAUUGCAGCUAGCUGGGAAAUAUACAGCGCCGGUGGAGGUGUGGACGGCGACGGCGACGUACGGACCCACUGUCCGUUAAAGCGGUUGGUCGGAGGAGAGUCAACACCCACGUACAAAUUGAGGAUCUUGAAAAUCAAUUUCUAGAAUUAUUCUUCAUGAGCCUAGCAGAGGUUAAUCUACAACAUAUAUAUGGAUUUAUGUUUAAUAUACAGUGGUUAAAUUGAUUCAUCUCAUUGGGGUAAUUAAGGGGGUUGAAAUUGACUAGCAGAAUCAAACAUAUAAGAACUGAUCGAGUACCGGUAUUAUACAUUCUACACAUACCCGGUCAUAUUACAACGAUACACGUAUUUGUCAUCACUACCGUGUAUUCGAAUACAUAUAUACUUCUCAAUUUUUGAAUUAAGAUUUAAAGUUGUUAUAUAAUUUCAUGAUCUAUUAAUACAAAUACGAAUACAAGCUUUCUUAAAAUUCUAUGUUAGAUUCUGGUUAAAAAGAAAAACUUAAAAAUGAACAUUUCUUCGGCUAAUGCAGGGGCUUUGACUUGAUUGUGAUCAGAAAUCUUAACCGCUGCGUGAAAAUUGAUGAAGCAUUAUUGGUUUUCCCUACCCAAAGUUGUUGCAUAUAGUUUCGUUUUUCCUGUCUAAAAGUUGUAUGGACUUGUUUUGUUGAGAAAAAAGUUGUAUGGACUUCUGCUUUUGAACAAAAAAAAGAAGAAGACGAAGUUGUAUGGAAUUCAAGCUAGCAUGCAUAUAGGUUAUUGAACUUUUCACAUGAAGAAUUUAUCCAGAUUAAGUGUGUACAAAUUUACAUGGUCAUUCUCAUCAAUACACAUGCACUUUAUGGACUACUACUGCCAAUUAAAUCUAGUGCUUGACGAAGUAAAGGUAUGUCUAAGUGUUUGUUAAAACUCUUGCUACAAAUAUACAUCGGUCGAAGAUUCGACAGGACCAGACCCAAUAUAGAGGCCAUACGGGUCAGGUUUGAAAUCUUGAAUUGCUCUUAAUGUUAUAUAUUAAUCAAAUUUCCAUAAUUAACCUACCCAUAUAUAUAUAUAUAUACAAAUACAAGUAUCAUCAUUUCUUACAUAUAUUAUUCGAGAGCCAAAUUUUAACGAGUCAACUACGACCACCCUGCCAUUCAGGAGAUCUUCGUGUUCUAAAUUCCUUGCAGCUUAACAAAUGUUUCUAAAUUUCUAUAUAUACAUACAUAUAUAUAUGCAGUGAUGAAAUCGUAACAUCACAGAGUGACAACUUACUAUGAUUACUAUCGUAUACAAGAUGUUCUUCCCAAAAAGAAGAAGAAGAAGAAGAAGUAAUUCUUCCAUCUAAAGUGAUUUCGUCGAGCCAUAUGUAAUGGAUCCUUGCACUGCACAUAUUCUACAUUCUCACUAAAGUUUCGUUCUAGAAUUUUCCAGUAUAUCAUUAUUGAGUACGUUCUAUUGAUUCAAGGCAAACCAUGGUUGAAAGUUGAAACAUUUAGCGUUAAACUCCAUUAUUGGUCUGCAAUAAUUUGAAUAACAAGUUGAAGCAUUUAGCUUAACCAAGUGGCAAUAAUUAGCAAACCAAGCUAAUAUAUAUAUGGCAGAAUAAGAUUAUUUAGUUAAUUAGCUUAAUCAAGCUAGCGUGUAUUACCUUACACUAAACUUGUUUUUGUAGGCUUGGCUACUCUACAUAGACUCGUUAAACUGCUGGGUUAAUUAUUUAAUCACGCUAAUAAUUCCCAUGGAAAUUCCAUCCUUUGUGUCGUAGUCCGGCCAGUCUAUCGGUUUAUCUGGUCAAGAUUGAAAUAGUAUUUUUGAUUCUUUUUGUCAAGCUUAAGCUUUUUAUUAUUGUUGGUCCGCUUUCAAGUUUCAACAAUAGAUCGAGAAUCACAUUUAGAGAUUCAUGUUGAUUAUCCGCUGCGGCUUUAUUUGAGAUACAAAGACAGACGACUAAUUUAUUAACUUAAUUAAACGAUAUUAACUAGUUAAUUAGUGCAUGCAUAUGGGAAGGCUUUCAUACACAUUUUUCUUUAUACGAGAUAAAUGCAUCAAGUCGUCUCUGUAUAUAUAUAUAUUCUGCAUCGAUCUCCUCCUUUCUGAGUGUUGUAUAUGCAAAGGGAAUGUUGUUUCUUUUUUUUCUUUUGGUUUAGAUGUGUUCCAGACGAGGAGUGAAAUAAAUAGAUAGUGAGAUGCAUGACAUAGAUCGAGUUCGAUCAAAGUACUUCCUCAAUUGAUUACAAGAGCUUAAUAUAUACUUUGCUGGCAUUCUGGUAAGUGGUAACAGAACUGUAAUACUAAAUAUCUUGAGGAUUCGAUCUCCUAAAUCUUUCACUGCCUGUUUUGCAUCUUGUUUAUCUAAUUAUCUAUGAUCCAAGUUUGCAUUGAGGAAUGAGGACGCCCUCUUCAAAAUCAACAAGAAUAAUAGACAUGAAGUGAAGAUGGUGGCCGGAAAAAGAGCUUUCUCGAUCAGAGGUAAAAGCAGUUUUUUAGUAAUGAUUAUGAAUUGUACGUUUAUGGGCACGACAANNNNNNNNNNNNNNNNNNNNUCCUGUUUUGGUAAAGUUUUCACAAAAAACAAAACACAUGUCACUAAAGACAAAAUUUAAAUUACCAAAAGAAGAAAAUAGGAGUGUGGAUUAUAAAAUUAGGAGUGUAAAUUUCAGUUCCCAAAAUAAAAGGUCAAUAAAGUUGAAAAAUAUAUGAUGCUAUAGCAAAUCACUCUAGUUUUUCUUCGUGUCAUAUGAACUCGAUCUUCAUUUAAACAAUAAUUUUCGAUCUUGUUUUCUUAUACAGUGAUGUAGUUAACUUACUAAUUUUCUAGUUGUUUGACAAUUAACACGUACUUAUCAUUCUCAACUCUCAAGUCAACAUCUAGCUAGGAGGCAAUUGGUAUAUACAGUUGAAAGAUCAGUGUGUUGGCAUUGUAAUUCAAUCUUGUUUACUUGUAUAUUUGGAGCCCUUAAUUGACUAAAAGUAUGAUAGUUUUUCUUUGGUUUAAGCCAACAAGAAGACUACAGGAGAGCCACACCCUUUUCCGAUUACGUACUUGAUGAUGACAAUCGUCAAACACUCGAAUUUCUAUAGACGGCUAGAUGAUAUAGUAUGACAAUUCGUACUUGAUGUAGUAUGACAAUUUGCCUUGACAGAGAAUUUCUGAAUAGCUAUCUUAAUUAUAGUGGAAAAUUUUGUUAUAUCGUAAAUCUCUUACGGUAUAGCAUGUCUGUUGAAUUUCAUGACCAAAUUUUGAUAAUAGUAUCGUAACAAUUUACAAAUUCUUUUAUUUUUGACGAUCACUACGUACUACUUAUCCAGCACUAUUCUGGACGAGCAAUAUUACACUGAUCGAGUACUAGCUUCCAAGCUAGAAGUCUACAAACGAUCAAGUGCUGAGCAAAAGGCAAAUUUAAAAACAACUUUAACUGAAAAUAUAGGGCUGCCUUCGUCAAAUUGGAAAUCGAGUACUAGUCGUAUUGGAUUCGAAAUGUUCAACAUGCGUCAGUCAUUGCAAACGUUUAUAUAAUCCUAGUGUUUUUUUUUCACUACCUCUACUUUCAGUGGUAGAGAAGCCGUGUCAGAAUUUACCUGUACUUUUUCACGGGGAAGAAUGGUACAAGUUGUUGAACAUUAUGUAAGCACCGAUUAUUGUUACUGUUCAUAAAUUGAAACUGUUGUUUAAUCAAACAGACCGAUCGAGAUCGAAAUACUGGUUGCAUUUUUGUCAUGGAUAGUUUAAUUUCUUUGCUUGUAGUGUUGUUGAGUACGUUAUGAUCAAAUUAUUUGUUAUGUUAUAAUCUCACCAUUGAUAAAAUUAACAUGAUUUUGAAGAGCUAGCUACUCUAUGUUCAUUACCUUCAAAAGGAAAACAAAAGGAACGAACUAUCAAGUAUCAACUAUGGAGUUCUUUUUGUUUGUAAUGGGUGUAAUGCAUGUAGUACAUAGCACGCGAUCAAUUCCCAGAUGGAGAUUUGGACCCAUAUCUGGAAAAACUAUUCUUAUCUUUGCGAUGUAAAACGUUCUUUCCAUGUGUUUAUGAAAUUGUGUAUAUAAAACCCACGCCCACGAUAUUUUACUCGUUUGUAAUACAAUAUUAUCAUUAUUAUACAUGCAGCCACUGUUGUGGAUGAUUCAAAUCUUUUUUAUUUCUUGCGUACUAUUCUUCAAUAAUGAACUUGCUUUCUCAGUCCUAUUUGAUUCCUCUACUCUUUCAGGAGAUAGAGCAGGAAACAACGAGGACCGAUCCAACCAUACCAGAUUAAUACGAGUGUAUAUUAUAGUGCUAGAAGAGUCAAGCUAGACGAUGAAGAAGAAGAUGGUAAACCCAGAAACAGAGAGAGAGCUUCGUGUAUUGGUAGGAGAAAUAGUAAAAGAGAACCUAGAAAGAAUUAGGGUUAGCACAAUCUUAUACUCCAAGAAGCUCAAGUUUCUACCAAUACAUGCACAUCCUUCCUCCAAACCCAAAGGGCAAGAAACCCAUCUUCUUCUUCCACCCACCAUGUAUGUCAUCCUUGAACCUCUCUAGCUUAAACUCAUGCACAUAGAGCUGGGCCAUGGUGCAUGGCUACAACGUCGUUCCACAUGUUUGUUCCUCUAGGAAUUGUUAGGUCUUUACUGAUCGACGUGAAUGUCAUCUUUAGCUUGUCUCUGUGCAUUUGGUGCUGAAGAGUAUAGCUGGAAAACCUCAUUCAUGACCCAUCCCAUCUGUAUCAGUAUCACCAAUUAAUUAACUCAAAAACAACAAAUCAUGAAGCUAUUUUUCUAUCUAUUUUCUAUAAUUAUCAGUAUCACUCAUAAUUUCUUACCCUUAUUUAGUCCAGCAAAUUAAAGCAUGUUGAAACCAAUUUCUUUAUCAUUUUGCCACGAGGCUUAAUUUUAUAAUUUGGUUUUUGUCACUAUCAGUGUUUUGAGACUAUCUUAAAUGAAACUUUGGUGCUCGAAGUCACAAUGUUAUCAACGUGAUACUUAGAUUCAAUUUUUUUUGUAUUAAUUAACGUAGUACCUCCGUUCAAUUUCCAUCACGAAACUGUUAAAUGAAGCACAUGUCAGACAAGCGAUGUAGUUUUUGAAAAUAGAGAAGUCUUAUAACAUUUUCUUUUUAACUUAAAACGAAUCAUAUUCAAUUAACACAUGUCAGAAUGAUACGCAUAAAUACACUCUUUAUGAAAACACAUAUAUGAGGAUGUGGUAUGCUAGAAUAAUGAGUCUUUGAAACAACUUAAAGAUUGAGAUUUUACAACUCAAAAGGUACGGUAGCCACAAUCUUCAAUCCAAGAGCUGGAAUACUAGAGGCAUGCCAUAAGAUGGCCUCAUUGUGAGUAAAGUAGAAGGAGAGUGACAAUAUGUAGGAGAAACAGUAAAAGAGAACCUAGAAAGUAUCAGGCUUAGC
rnacentral:lncRNA from 1 species